GGAAAGAAAAGGAAGAAAGGAAGAGGAAGGAGAUCCCGGUUGCGCUGCCAGCUGAAGGGAAAAGUGUAGAUCUCCUUCCCCUCUACGCAAGGACCUCGAUUUUCAAAAAAAAAAGAUAAAUAUCCGUCCCUAUCUAGUCUUUUGAUGAUAUUAGGCUAUACAAAGGGUGGAUAUAGCCUAGAGGGGUCGGAUAAGGGUUGUAGAG
rnacentral:lncRNA from 1 species